GGUCGGGUCCUGUGCAACAGCCGUCCGGGAACCAGGUCAGGACCGGAAGGUAGCAGCCUUCAACGGUACCGUCUGUGUGCCGCAGGGAACCUGGCCGUC
rnacentral:SRP_RNA from 1 species